rnacentral:lncRNA from 1 species
CCGAAUAUCAUAAUACCCUUUAUAAACUAGACGUUCAAGAGAACCUUCUUGCCUACCAUAUAUUAUAUAUCACACGCCUUCUGAUCCGUGUAACUCUUCUGUCUGGACUGUGCUGUGCAAAAUUGCUCCUGUAUCAACUUCACCUUUUCCAAGGUAUCCUUUACGAAAUCAGUACCAUAUAACUUAGCCUCGCUGGGGUCAAACCACAUGAUGGGAGAACAACAUCACAGACCAUAUAAAGCCUCAAAUGGAGCCAUUUAAUGUUGGACUGAUAACUGUUGUUGUAAGCAAAAUCCGCCAAAGGUAGGAAUUGAUCCACUAUACCCUAAAUUCAAUCAAGCAUGCUUUGAGCAUGUCUUCCAAGAUUUGAACUGUCCACUCUAACCGCC